rnacentral:rRNA from 1 species
UACGGGGGGGGCAAGCGUUGUUCGGAAUUACUGGGCGUAAAGGGUGCGUAGGCGGUUCGCUAAGUCGGAUGUGAAAACUCUGGGCUCAACCCAGAGCCUGCAUCCAAAACUGGCGGGCUAGAGUUCUGGAGGGGGUAGCGGAAUUCCUGGUGUAGCGGUGAAAUGCGUAGAUAUCAGGAGGAACACCUGCGGUGUAGACGGCUUUCUGGACCAUUGCUGACGCUGAGACACGAAAGCGUGGGUAGCAAACAGG